GAGAUACACUAAUAAUACCCUCCUUAGUUCUUAUAUGUUCUUGCUUUGAGAUUGUUUCUUUGAACUAAGAGGAUAUUUUCUGAACUCAAGAACUUUUGUUGAGAAGAAAAUUUCGAACCAUCUUAUACAUGAUAAUCUUAACAGCAUUUCUGUGAAUACUACUGUAGGUAGCGUUCUCUGAGCAUCCCUCUGCCCCUUUUUUUUAAAACCAUAUAUGUGCUUAGCACUUUCUAUUUUCCCUUCAUGUUUGUUCUUUGAGGUAGGUACUAUGGUGCACAUUUUCCAGAACUUGCUUCCUGGGAGGUAAAGGGCAUAGAUGAGACACUUAAUACUCUGUUCUUCCUGAACUCUCAGACUGUGAGCUCCUUGAAAGAUGCCUAUUUAUGAAAUGGUCUUACAUCCAGUGCUGGCCAUAUAGAGGAAAGUGGGAGUAGAAAGUUGGACAGGACUUUUUCUGAGUGCCCAGACAGUGGGCAACAGCUGUAUGAAGUCAAUGAGUAGCUAGACAAAGAAUUCUGAUCAUGCCUCAAACAAGCUAAGAUAAAAAUCACAUUUGUAAGGAUCUUAAAGUAUGAAAAUACUUCCACAAAAAAGGUAUUUGGAAAAUUAUGUAUUCAAACUCGCAUCUAAUUUUGCUAGGAUUAAAUCUAAAUAGAGUCAGUUUUGUAGUUUUCUAUGAAGUGUAUCAGUGAAAACCUAGGGUUUUAAAUUACAUUGAGAUAGGCUUUGCUCCUUAUAGAAAACUUUAUUCACUUCUUAUUUCCCCAGAAUAUUUUCUC